AUGUAGGUCAGCCACACCCAGACAGAGGACGACAAGCACACAACAGGAAGGGAGUAGGGGGGAAACUGGAGAAACAAGGGGAAAUAGACAAAGUAGGCCAACUGCAGAUUCUAACCAAAAGUCCUCAAUUCAAAAUGUUCCUUCAGUAAAAGUAGGCCUAUCCACCAGAGGUCUCUGCUGAGUCUCUGCAGCCGCCUGCAAUCAUCCAGCCUGAGGGAUUGGCCCAAAUAAAAGCUUAUGGUGCCUCCAGUGGUGGAAAGUAAAGUAGGCAGCAUUUACUCAAGUACUGUACUUAAGCACAGUUUUGAGGUACUUGUUCUUGUACCAUCUUAAGUUUUUCUGCUACUUUUAUACAUCUACUCCACUACAUCUUUAAGAUUGAAGGCCCCACAGACUCUCUCAAGUGUUUUCAGUCAUGUGGUUGAUUAGACCAAUCAGGUUGAAGCUCUGCUGGGAUUUAUGUGAGGUCAUCAUGUACUUAUGUCUCCGCAGGAAUUGAAAAAAUGUGUCCAUGCAUUUAUCUUUAGUAGACUCGGCUACUGUAACGGUGUCUGUGAAGAGCCUGUGAAUUCCUGGAAAAAAUGUUGAACAUGAUAAUAACUUGGGUGUUAUUCUAUAAAUGAUUUUAUU